AGAAGUUCAACCUCGGGUAUGUCAGAA
rnacentral:piRNA from 1 species